rnacentral:rRNA from 1 species
GGACUACUCGGGUAUCUAAUCCUGUUUGCUCCCCACGCUUUCGCGCCUCAGCGUCAGGGACGUUCCAGAGAGCCGCCUUCGCCACCGGCCUUCCUCCCGAUCUCUACGCAUUUCACCGCUACACCGGGAAUUCCGCUCUCCUCUCCCGUCCUCUAGCUGAACAGUCCCCGAUGCCAUUCCCCGGUUAAGCCGAAGGAUUUCACACCGGACUUAUCCAGCCACCUACGCGCGCUUUACGCCCAGUAAUUCCGGACAACGCUUGCCACCUCUGUCUUACCGCGGCUGCUGGCAC